GCUAGUAAUCGCGGAUCAGCACGCCGCGGUGAAUACGUUCCCGGGCCUUGUACACACCGCCCGUCACACCAUGGAAGUCUGCAAUGCCCGAAGCCGGUGGCCUAACCACUUAUGUGGAAGGAGCCGUCUAAGGCAGGGCAGAUGACUGGGGUGAAGUCGUAACAAGGUAUC
rnacentral:rRNA from 1 species